CAGUCGCCGCGGUAAUACGAAGGGUGCAAGCGUUACUCGGAAUUACUGGGCGUAAAGCGUGCGUAGGUGGUGGUUUAAGUCCGUUGUGAAAGCCCUGGGCUCAACCUGGGAAUUGCAGUGGAUACUGGGUCACUAGAGUGUGGUAGAGGAUAGUGGAAUUCCCGGUGUAGCAGUGAAAUGCGUAGAGGUCGGAAGGAACAUCUGUGGCGAAGGCGACUAUCUGGGCCAACACUGACACUGAGGCACGAAAGCGUGGGGAGCAAACAGGAUUAGAUACCCCGGUAGUCCCUGUCUCUUAUAA
rnacentral:rRNA from 1 species